GGAAUAGUCGUCAUUGGUAAGAUAAGACAAUUGCUAAUUGUUCGAGUAAUACUCUUAGGUGUUCGACUCACCUCUAUUCCG
rnacentral:tRNA from 1 species